rnacentral:rRNA from 1 species
AGCUAUACAUGCAGUCGAGCGAACAGAGAAGGAGCUUGCUCCUUUGACGUUAGCGGCGGACGGGUGAGUAACACGUGGGCAACCUACCUUAUAGUUUGGGAUAACUCCGGGAAACCGGGGCUAAUACCGAAUAAUCUGUUUCACCUCAUGGUGAAAUAUUGAAAGACGGUUUCGGCUGUCGCUAUAGGAUGGGCCCGCGGCGCAUUAGCUAGUUGGUGAGGUAACGGCUCACCAAGGCGACGAUGCGUAGCCGACCUGAGAGGGUGAUCGGCCACACUGGGACUGAGACACGGCCCAGACUCCUACGGGAGGCAGCAGUAGGGAAUCUUCCACAAUGGGCGAAAGCCUGAUGGAGCAACGCCGCGUGAGUGAAGAAGGAUUUCGGUUCGUAAAACUCUGUUGUAAGGGAAGAACAUGUACUGUAGUAUCUGGCUGUACCUUGAA